AUGUGGUAGUUUUUGUCAAUUUACUUUAGUACACGGGAAGUUUCAUUAGAAAAAUCUCAGAAUCACAAGGGCGUGCAUAUACAAGAAGAGCUGCCUGUGCUCCAAGGAUCAAAAUUCAGUCAACAGAUUCAAAGCACGCUUCUUCGCCGGCACAAACAUGGAUUGGUCGCUCCGACGACAAACUACGAGCCAUUUAAUCUUCUUUACUUACUACCAAAGAUUACGA
rnacentral:lncRNA from 1 species